AAGUGACAUUUUUAAAAUUUUUAGGAUGCUAGUUGAUAUUAGGAUAAAUCCCAAAAUCAAACAUGAAAUUAGCCACUACUUGUAAUUGGGUUCUAAGGAUACGUCAGUGACCCAAGAAAUGACACUCGGACAGAAAGGAAGUGCCGAAAAAGGGAUCAAAAUCAAAACGAAAAUGGCGGCUGUUGCUUCUUCUUGUUCUUCUUCAAUUGCUAAUAACCGCUCAGUUCAUCAUCGUCCCCGUGGCACCUUCAAGCAUAAUCAUUAGCCCAUCAUCUCUGUUCCGCUCAGACACCAGCAAUCAUCAUCUACAUCACUGUCUGUCCAACUUCAACCACCAAAAGAAUCUGGAUUUGGGAUUUUGUGGAAGAGGAAGGAGGACGAGAAGGGCUGGCUGGGAAGUCUUGCAGCUGUUCGACAGUUGACUGGGUCACUCACAACUGCUGAGGGUCUCCGCUUUGGCAUUGUGGUGGCUUGCUUCAAUAAAAUGGUCACAAAGCCACUGUUGGAGGGAGCUUUGGACACUUUCAAAAAGUACUUGGUCAAAGAAGAAGAUAUCGAUGUUGUGUGGGUUCCAGGUAGUUUUGAAAUUGGUCUCGUUGCAGAGAAGCUUGGAAAGUCAAGAAAGUAUCAAGCCAUCUUAUGUAUUGGAGCUGUGGUA